rnacentral:rRNA from 1 species
UACGUAGGGUCCGAGCGUUGUCCGGAAUUAUUGGGCGUAAAGAGCUCGUAGGCGGUUUGUCGCGUCUGCUGUGAAAAUCCAGGGCUUAACCCUGGGCCUGCAGUGGGUACGGGCAGACUAGAGUGCGGUAGGGGAGAUCGGAAUUCCUGGUGUAGCGGUGAAAUGCGCAGAUAUCAGGAGGAACACCGGUGGCGAAGGCGGAUCUCUGGGCCGUAACUGACGCUGAGGAGCGAAAGCAUGGGGAGCGAACAGG